GACGAACGCUGGCGGCGUGCCUAAUACAUGCAAGUUGAGCGCUGAAGGUUGGUACUUGUACCAACUGGAUGAGCAGCGAACGGGUGAGUAACGCGUGGGGAAUCUGCCUUUGAGCGGGGGACAACAUUUGGAAACGAAUGCUAAUACCGCAUAAAAACUUUAAACACAAGUUUUAAGUUUGAAAGAUGCAAUUGCAUCACUCAAAGAUGAUCCCGCGUUGUAUUAGCUAGUUGGUGAGGUAAAGGCUCACCAAGGCGAUGAUACAUAGCCGACCUGAGAGGGUGGUCGGCCACAUUGGGACUGCGACACGGCCCAAACUCCUACGGGAGGCAGCCGUAGGGAAUCUUCGGCAAUGGACGAAAGUCUGACCGAGCAACGCCGCGUGAGUGAAGAAGGUUUUCGGAUCGUAAAACUCUGUUGGUAGAGAAGAACGUUGGUGAGAGUGGAAAGCUCAUCAAGUGACGGUAACUACCCAGAAAGGGACGGCUAACUACGUG
rnacentral:rRNA from 1 species